ACGCUCGACACCUACUGGAGGCAGCAGUAGGGAAUCUUCCACAAUGGACGCAAGUCUGAUGGAGCAACGCCGCGUGAGUGAAGAAGGUCUUCGGAUCGUAAAACUCUGUUGUUAGAGAAGAACACGAGUGAGAGUAACUGUUCAUUCGAUGACGGUAUCUAACCAGCAAGUCACGGCUAACUACGUGCCAANCNCGCCGAGUAUCNGNGGCGGNGUGAGAG
rnacentral:rRNA from 1 species